rnacentral:rRNA from 1 species
GAUGAACGCUAGCGAUAGGCUUAACACAUGCAAGUCGAGGGGCAGCAUAAGAAGUAGCAAUACUUUUGGUGGCGACCGGCGGAUGGGUGAGUAACGCGUAUGCAACCUACCCUCUACAGGGAGAUAGCCCGUUGAAAGACGGAUUAAUAUUCCAUAUUAUCCAAGUAUCGCCUGAUAUUUAGAUGAAAGAUUUAUUGGUAGAGGAUGAGCAUGCGUUUCAUUAGUUUGUUGGUGAGGUAACGGCUCACCAAGACUACGAUGAAUAGGGGAACUGAGAGGUUUAUCCCCCACACUGGGACGUGAGACACGGCCCACG